UGGAAAGGGGAUGGAGUGGGAAGAUGAUCUUCCUCUGGAGUUUGGCUGUUCCACAGCUGACCUCCUCUCUGACUGUCUCCAGCUGAACUCCUCUCGACAUUCAGACUCUUCUCUUCUCUCCUUCUCUGCUGAGCUGCUUCUCUGCCUCUCUGCUCUUCUGUACAUCUGUUCAUCUGCUCGUCUGCUCAUGGACCCUGGAGUUUGGGGUUUAUAUGGGUACAGGAUAGGGAAGUGUGGUGGGCCAAAGGGCAACAUUCAGUCAUGAAAACAGGAAUGCUUGUUCCCAUUUAGGGCUGUGGGUUUCCAGGCUUAGGGGCAGGGCCUUUGCUGGGGAACUGCCCUCUUUUACCCAGUAUUUCCCUGUUUCCUGUCUGUAUCAAUAUGGUGGGUCUCCAGGAUGAAAAGGCCUUAAGAGCAAAAACUGAGAUUUCCUGGAGGUGAAGAAAUUCUGCCUCAAAACUACAACAUUGACUCUUGCCUGAUUUCUAGCGCACCAGAGUGUCCUUUAGAUUUCAGACUUACCAGCCCCCAUAAUCACAUGAGCCAAUUCCUUAAAGUCUCUCUCUCUGUAUUAUGUAUGUAUGUAUGUAUGUAUGUAUGUAUGUAUGUAUCUAUCUAUCUAUCUAUCUAUCUAUCUAUCUAUCUAUCUAUCUAUCUAUCAUCUCCUACUGGUUCAAUGUUCUGGAGAACCCUGAAUGGUACAUGUGAGAUGGGAAACUCUUCUAGGGUUUUGAACAGAGAAGAAAUAUGAUGUUGCUUAGGUUAAGAAUAAGCUGUGGAGGUUCAAGGCUGGAAGUAAGUGACUAGUUAAGAGUGCUGUAAAAACUCAGGGGAGGAAUGAUGGUAGCUUUGCACUAGGGUAGUAGCAAUGGAGGUCGUAAAAAAUUGCAGAUUCUGAAUAUAUUUGAAAUUAAGUCAACAGGGUUUGAUGACAGAUUGAUGGGGAGUAUAAAAACAAGAAGUAACAAUAUUAAGAUUUUUAGCUGCAAGUAGAAAAAUGAGGUUGCCACGGACUGAACUGGGGGUUUUAAAAGAUCAAUUUUCAUGAAGGGAGAAGGCCAAGAUUCAGUUUGUACAUGGCAAAUUUGAAAUACCCAUUAAACAUCCAACUGUAGAUGGGGAGUAAGCAGCUGGACAAAACAUUCCAAAGUUUUCUGAGAGAUCUAGACAUAAGGUACAAUAUGGAGAUCCUCUGAAUAUAGAUAAUAUUGUAGCUUUGAGAGUAGCUGAGAUAUUUUAAUAAGUGUAUAGAUAGAAAAAGAAAUACUAUCCCGGGACUUGAACCUGAGUACUCCAACAUUAGAAAUAUAUAAGAUGGGAGAAAACAGCAAGAGACUGAGAUAAGGCAGCUAAUGUGAUGAGAGGAGAACCAAGGAAGAGGGAGACCUAGAAGAUAGGUGAAGAAGGCAUUUGAGAAAAUAUCAACUAUGACAAAGUCUGUUUAUAGGUUAAGAUGAGAACUGGAAAUUGAUUGUUGAUGCCCUUCACCAGAGCUGUUUCAGUGUAGUAGAAACAAAAGCUUGAUUGGUGAGGAAGAGAAGAGAGAAAGUAGACAGAGAUAUGCUAUAUUCUAGUAAACAGCAAUAUCCUAUAUGCUUUUAGGAAGUUGUUUCUCUUGAAAGGAAGAUAAAACAUCACAUUUCUAUAUUGAUGUGGAUAAUUUAGUGGGGAGUGAAAUUUAUGGCAGAAGAAAGGAGAGCAUUGCUGAAGCUACAUCCUUAAGGAAAUGAGAGGGGAAGGGAACCAGAACAUUGGUGGGAGAUUUGGCUUAUAGAGGAGAUAAGGCAGUUCAUCUAUGGCAAUGGGAGGGAAGGCAGUUCCUUUAAUGACAAUGGGAAUGGAAGCGUACGUAUAAGGGUUCAAAUGUAGGCAGGUUGAAGAAAUGGAAAUGGGAGCAUGUAAAAAACUUCUGAUGGCCUUGUUCUUCUAAAUGAAAGAAAAUAAGACCAUAAGCUGAGAGUGAGCACACAUAAGGAGGUGCUAAAAUUUGAGCCAACAGACUGAUGUAGUCAUCCAAGUGUGGAGAGUAAAAAUACAAAGAAAAUGUGGCAGAUAGAAGGAGGACUGUAGUCUUCUCGCAGAGCUGUUGGCUUCUGUCUCUACUAUUGAAGAUGAAUGUGGAAAAUUGGUACAUUUUCCUUCAAGUGGAUAUAUUUUAUUUUGCUGAUUUGUAAGGAAACAGCAAAUUGAAGCCAGAAUUAGAAUGAGUUCUGGCAAAUGCGAUUAAAGGUAAAAUUUCCUCAGAUUUGUUAUACCUCUAAAAAUUAUGUUAAUUUCUAAAAUGCCACUAAAACUUUAUGGUCAUGUAUUUAAGCCCAAUAUGAUAGAACGAAACCUCAAUAUAGCAAUUAGGAUCUCUUCCAAACCCCAAGCCAGAAGUUGGUUUGGGAGAUGUUGGUGGCAGGAAACCAAUAUCACUAAAGACAUCAGAAGACAUUAAGUCUCAUUCAGGCUCAUGAUUGUGAAAAUGUCAUUUAUUAUAAUUAAGUCUAACACUAUAUUUCUGGGAACAAUUUGUAGUGGGAAUUUUUACAUUCACAUGCAUAAAACAAUAUAGGAGGUUUGGGGAAAAUGUAUCCUUAGUUAUCAUAUUUUCCAGUGAUAUGAUGUCAAUACUCUCAAAUAUGAGAGUCAUCAAAGAACAAGUUUUGGCAGCAAUCUUUGAAGAUAAUGCUUCCUUUAGUACAUUGCCAAACUUCUCCUUUAAAAAUGAAAGAACAACUUAUAAUUAUUUGUGACACUUGUGAAAUGAUAAUGGAAGCUUUGAAUAGUUUUGCUCAGAAUUCACACCUCUUCAAUUCCACAUAGAGUUGUUAAAAUAAAUGAGAAAUACAGCCUCAAGAACAAAGAUACAUGAAUUCAGACAGAGCAAUCUAAGAAAAUAGGGUUUUCUUUUUAAAUUUUCAUUUGAAUGACACUAAGAAAACCAAACUCUUUUAAAAGUAAUCAUUGGUGUUUACUAAAACACAUUUUUCACUGUGCUGAACAUACGCCCUUGAGGUAAAAAUAUUUUUCUUUGCCAAAACCUUGAGAAAGUUAUAAUUGACUAAUAAUUCUCUGCUUUGGAAGAAACACAACCAUCAAUAUCAAAGCUUGUAUAAUCAUUACAACUUUUGCUGUAAAAUAGUGAGAUUCUUAACUAAAUUUUAGAGGCAUGAUAUUAUCAUUUUGGAGUCUUUUCUUCAUUGUAUUCUUUCUGGAAGAAAACAUUAUAGUUCGUCUUUGAUGAAUAGAGCUUACAUUAUGUUCCUAAGAGAUAGUGAUGUUUUUUACAGUGGCGGCUGUUGAUGUGUGCUGCUUAGAUUUUUCUUCCAGGAAGAACUUGCAUAUUCACCUGAAAGAAGUGCAGUUAGCUGACAGCUUCCAGCUGUUAGCACCUUCAGGAUUCACCUCAGCUUUCAAGCCAAGACAAUGAUCUUUCUGGGCAGCCCCCAGCCAAUUACUGGAUGGGGAUACUCUAGCCUGGCCAUUUCUGCCCAACAUGGGACUCCUCUCAUGGGUACUCAUUGUUCUGGAGCUCCAGACUCAUUGCUCUGGGUUGUAGAUCUGUAUUACAGGCUGAAAGCUUUCAAUGGUCAGUUCAGCUUCUUCUGCUUUUUAUCUUUCACGGAUGUUACCUCUAUCCUCCCUGCCCCCCAUGAACUCCUUGCACUCCAAUCAAAACUCUAUCUCAAUGUUUUCUUCCCAUGGACUCAAUUGACAGUAAUCCCCCUCAAAUGUGUUGGGCCAAGUACUGUGUUAUUAAUACAUGCCGGGAAUACAAACGUCACUUAACACAUAUUUUCUAUCCUAAAAAGCUCACAAACUAAUUGGGAAGCAAGCACCCACUAUAAGCAUAAAGUACAAAGGAGUCAACAUAAUUAUGAAGCUAUGGAGUUGAACUGGUCUUCGAUUGCUUUGUGACAAAUCACCAGAAACUGAGCACCUUAAAACAGCACGGACGCGCAUGAAAUUUGGUGCCGUGACUUGGAUCAGGGGACCUCCCUUAGGAGAUCAAUCCCCUGUCCUCCUGCUCUUUGCUCCAUGAGAAAGAUCCACCUAUGACCUAAGGUCCUCAGACCAACCAGCCCAAGAAACAUCUCACCAAUUUCAAAUCCGAAAUCCUUCAUCUAAUCUGGCAAACACAUGUGGCAGGUUUUUCUCACCGCAUAAAAUAUGUUAUAGAGUAGUCCAUCUAUUUCUCUUCCAUGGAAGAGUUCAUCUGGUAGAUUGGACUACCACUUUUCCUUGGCAACAACGUUAAGAGGUGGAGCCUUUAGGAGAUGAUUAGCCUCAGAAGAGGAGCGCUGCAGUGAGACCCUCAGUCUUCUUAGUGUCAGGUCCCGAGUUCUCAUCCCGCAUCCAGGAAGACUGAGGUUAUGUGGACACCUGGAGGGUGAGCGAGGCUGAGAAAAGCUUUAUUGGGCAACCAGACAGCUCUCAGAAGAGAGGUGACCUGAAGCAGAGUAAAAGACAAGCUUCUGUGGAAAGGGCAACAAACACUAUCACCCUCAGACCAGAGGUGAACAUCCUUUGCAGCAAGGUGAAAGAGACACAAAACACCCUCUGCCCUUGAAGGAGAGACAGGAGACGCCUCUGUUGGCUUCUCUGCUGCUUAACAGAAGUCAUGAGAUGCCUGGGUAUAAACUGUUGCCUAAGGAUACAGGGUGUGUGGCUGGUGGCCUCAACAGGCCCCACGGCUCAGGCACUCAGACCCAAGCUGGUCCCUCAGACUAAAUGGUUUUCCUGGGAACUCUGACUCUGGCCACAAGAUGAAGACUGACAAAUUUCCUUUCUCUGUUUAUGGAGGGAGACUUCACAACAUUCACUGAAAGAGGAGCAAAGGACCUGGUUUUUGCCAUGACUGGCUUUGGCCCCGUGAAUGAAUGUUUUUCUGGCAUUGGAAAGCGGAUUGCAAAGAGAGCAGAACCACAAAUGGGCUAUGAGGAAAUGUGUUCAAUGAAGAAAACAAAAUCUCUGACAAGAUCCCACAUAAGACAACAUCUCAGCAUCUUCUGUGAUUUGUGAACCCAAGUAAAGCACUUCUUAGAGUUAUCUGGCACAUUCGCAACUAAUAGCUUUCCAUGAAUAAAUACUGUGGCAACCACGUUAACUGUACAAAAACAAAUUGCUUAUUUCUCAUAUCCAUGCUGGAAGAUUAUCUGGCUGGCCUUAUCAGCUGUGAUGUCAGGAAUGUCAGCCAGUUAUCCUGUGGUGCAUUCAGCUGGGUCAUUGUACCCCAUCAGUGAGGCAAUUGCAAAGUUCCAUCUGGACAGAGAGGAAAAAAAGUAUCAACAGCAACUUAAGCCCACUGGAUGGAUUUAAGGUUCUCCUACAUUCCCAACACGUCUGUCAUAAAGAUGCCAAUGAAAGGUUAUAACCCAGAUGGAAACAAGACUCCAAAUGCCAGUAAACCAAAGACAACUCGAGAUCAGAGACAGGGUUUUAUCAUGCUGCUGCACACUGGUCUUGAACUCCUGGGCUCUAGUGAUCCACCUGCCUCAGCUUCCCAAAGUAAUGGGAAUACAGGUAUACAUGUGCCAUGGUGGUUUGCUGCACCUAUCAACCUGUCAUCUAAGUUGUCACAUGCCAAUUUCAAGAUUUAAGAUAGGAGUUCACCAGGAGCUUAGAGAUAGAGUCUCACUAUGUUUCCCAGGCUGAUCUCAAACUCCUGGCCUCCAGUGAUCUUACUGCUGCGGCCUCCCAAAGUGCUGGGAGUACAGUGUCUUGAAAUGACUUAAUUGACUGGCUAGAGAACUGCUAUCUGAAUUUAUCUGAAUUGGGCUAGUCAAAUAAAGCAGUGGGAGUGGAAAAGGAACAAGGAAAUCUGUAACCGGUUAUGAUCAAUUAGUUGUAAACACCACUGCACGAGGACCAGCCCAAAGCUGCUACUUAACCAAGUGACUUUCUGAUUGCUCAACUGUGUUUCCACUGAGAAAAAUGCAUUGAAAUGAAACAUCUCAUUUCCUGUACUGUCCUGAGGCAAAAAGAGACAAUGAUACGUAUCUCCAAUUUAGACUGGAUGAAACUAGCCACAUUUCAAAUAAAGAAGUCACAUUGUAAGUGUAAAACGACGUUAACCUUAAAGGAGACAUUUCCGCCCUGUAUAACUAUGCACAGCUUCAACUAAUGGUAUAUGAACUGUGUCUACAAACCAAAGGACAUUUUUCUAAAGAAACUUUAAAUAUAGCAAAUUAACUCAAACCUUACCUUAGAGCUUCCUCCUCUAUUGUCUUUUCCUGUAGUGGUAGUCUCUGUGGCACUUACAGGUGGUAAACAAAUAAAAAAGUGUCUUAUUGAAUUAACUUGAUUGCCAUAUUGAUCAGUUUUAUGUGUUUUUAUUCUUAAGCAUAACAAUAAAAGAAAAUGAUCAAGCAACGUUUUGCUUAAAAAAAAAAGAUUUCAUGGCAGAGAAGCAAUUGAGUCCAGUUAAGAGACAGUUAAGAACAUUUUUCAGUUUGGAGCUUUUGUUUUGUAAUGAGAACUUUGCCAGUUCGUCACAAAUGAACUUGAGCACAUUUUCUCGAGCGUGACGGCUGAACAGAUGAGCCACACACACUUUAUAGUUAGUUUUACUGCACUGAGUCUUUACCUACUAUUCCUAGUAGUUACACAUAUCAAAUUAUUAAUAACUGAUCAACAUUUUAAAAGAAGGUUUCAAAAGAAAUGUAAUUAGAUUUUAUAGUUGAGUUUUAGCUAAUGUGUGAUUCCACGGAAGUUCAGGUGCUGAGAUUACAUUUCAAUUUAUACUUGCCAUCUGCUAAAAUAUCCCCCCUCUCUACAGCAUCCUGACCAGAUCUCCAAAUUUUGAAAUCUGUUUUCAUUAUUCAAGACUCAUUGUACAUUUCAAAUACCAGGUUGAUUUCUUAGUCUCCAUGUUCUCCAUGUCUGCUUAUGACUUUACAGAAAAAAUGUUAUUUACUAUGCAUAUUAAUAUUGAGAUUCUUUACUAUGCUGUAUCUUUUUUUUUUUUUUUUUUUUGAGAUGGAGUCUCACUAUGUUGCCCAAGCUGGAGUGCAGUGGCACCAUCUCGGCUCACUGCAAGCUUCACCUCCGGGGUUCAUGCCAUUCUCCUACCUCAGCCUCCUGAGUAGCUGGGAUUCUAAUCCCCGCCACCACGCCCAGCCAAUUUUUUGUAUUUUUAGUAGAGACAGGGUUUCACUUUGUUAGCCAGGAUGGGAGCUCGUAAUCCGCCCACCUCUGCCUCCCAAAGCUGGGAUUACAGGCGUGAGCCACUGUGCCUGGCCUACUAUGCUGUAUUCUUAUAGUUAACAGCAUGCUCUUUGAUAAUAUCUCAUUGGAAAUAUUUAUGCUCUGAAACAUUAUUUUUUGAAUUGUUAAAUAUAAAUCAUUUAUACAGCAAUACUUUAUGGGAGAAGCAUAUGCUGAAUUUUAAUGGUGUUUACUUUGCAAUCCAAAAUUGUGAAUACAUACAUGUAAAACUAUGAAAUUGCUAAUUAAAUAUU